AAUAGAUACCCUGGUAGUCCAUGCCAUAAACGUUGGGAACUAGAUGUAGGGCCUGUUCCACGGGUUCUGUGUCAUAGCUAACGCAUUAAGUUCCCCGCCUGGGGAGUACGGCCGCAAGGCUAAAACUCAAAGGAAUUGACGGGGGGCCCGCACAAGCGGCGGAGCAUGCGGAUUAAUUCGAUGCAACGCGAAGAACCUUACCAAGGCUUGACAUAUAGAAGAACACUGCAGAGAUGCAGGACUCUUUGGACACUUCUAUACAGGUGGUGCAUGGUUGCCGUCAGCUCGUGUCGUGAGAUGUUCGGUUAAGUCCGGCAACGAGCGCAACCCUGUCCUAUGUUGCCAGCACGUGAUGGUGGGAACUCAUGGGAUACUGCCGUGGUCAACACGGAGGAAGGUGGGAUGACGUCAAAUCAUCAUGCCCCUUAUGUCUUGGGCUUCACGCAUGCUACAAUGGCCGGUACAAAGGGCUGCGAUACCGUAAGGUGGAGCGAAUCCCAAAAAGCCGGUCUCAGUUCGGU
rnacentral:rRNA from 1 species